rnacentral:rRNA from 1 species
CGGUACUAAUCGCUCGAUAGGCUUGAUCUGAUCCAGAAACAGCAAGACUCAAUACCCAAUCAAAAGCAAACAUUCGACUUGGAAAACAAAGUGCUUCUUCCUCGGUUUGGUGGUCAUAGCGCGAGCAAAACUCCCGAUCCCAUCCCGAACUCGGUCGAUAAGUGCCGCAGCGCCAAUGGUACUGCGUCUCAAGACGUGGGAGAGUAGGUCACCGCCAAAC